AGUGAACGCUGGCGGUAGGCCUAACACAUGCAAGUCGAACGGCAGCACAGUAAGAGCUUGCUCUUACGGGUGGCGAGUGGCGGACGGGUGAGGAAUACAUCGGAAUCUACUUUUUCGUAGGGGAUAACGUAGGGAAACUUACGCUAAUACCGCAUACGACCUACGGGUGAAAGCAGGGGAUCUUCGGACCUUGCGCGAUUGAAUGAGCCGAUGUCGGAUUAGCUAGUUGGCGGGGUAAAGGCCCACCAAGGCGACGAUCCGUAGCUGGUCUGAGAGGAUGAUCAGCCACACUGGAACUGAGACACGGUCCAGACUCCUACGGGAGGCAGCAGUGGGGAAUAUUGGACAAUGGGCGCAAGCCUGAUCCAGCCAUACCGCGUGGGUGAAGAAGGCCUUCGGGUUGUAAAGCCCUUUUGUUGGGAAAGAAAAGCAGCAGGUUAAUACCCCGCUGUCCUGACGGUACCCAAAGAAUAAGCACCGGCUAACUUUGUG
rnacentral:rRNA from 1 species